GAAAUGCGAUAAGUAAUGUGAAUUGCAGAAUUCCGUGAAUCAUCGAAUCUUUGAACGCACAUUGCGCCCUCUGGUAUUCCGGGGGGCAUGCCUGUCCGAGCGUCAUUGCGAACCCCUCAAGCACGGCUUGUGUGAUGGCCCUCCCGCGUCUUGGUCGUCAAGACGGGCCCGAAAUGCAGUGGCGGCUUCGCGGUUAUCCGAUCAGCCAGAGCGUAUGGGGACUCUCUCUCUUGUCACACGCCCGCGGCGCGGACCGACGCCUGUCGACCUUUAUUCAUCUUCUCUCGGUUGACCUCGGAUCAGGUAGGGAUACCCGCUGAACUUAAGC
rnacentral:misc_RNA from 1 species